rnacentral:lncRNA from 1 species
UUGCAGGAAGGACACCAAAUUCUGUGUUAAACAGGCAAUUUCGUAGAUCAAAACACUGGGGAGCACUGCGGGAGAGCUGGGGCAGAGGAGAACCAGCAAUAAACUACAAAGGGAACAUUGGCUAAAAAUAUUUACUACAAAGGUGCCACAAGCAGUAAUCCUGCUUGUGGUUUGAGAGGCUGAAAUGAGUUGUUUAUGCUGUAAGCACUUUAAUAGUAUGGUUAAUUAGCCGCUCUCCUCUAUUGUGAGGGUAUUUGCCCCCUUGUUCUCUAUACUCCAGAGGCAAAUCCGAAGGUUGGAAGCCAUGCAGAAGUGCAGGCAGAUAGCUUUUAAAAAUUACAGAGGUCAUUGGUGUACCUAAUGCAUGUGAGUGCUGCCCGUCACAUUCUUUUUAAAUGGUCUGAUUUUAUUUUUUUCUUCUCAUCAACAGACCCGGCAGAAGGGAGCAAGUCAGAAGAAGAUCUAUACGAAGGUAAGUUCUGCGGUGGAGAAAGACAGAAAAAUGUUAACUUAACAGAGCUACGUUGACUCUGCAGUGGACUGGUAUCCCACCGUUACUGCUUUGCAGAUCCCGAAGAUGUGCUCACAAGGAAGCAUUGUUUCUAAACAUCAUAAGAUAGCCUGCUUUCAGAUCUGAAGUGGGAACAACGUGUUGCCUACUUCAAUUACAGUCUGAGAAUUAAUUUCAUAUGUGGAAGAACACAACAAAAAGAAGAGGUGAGCAUCUCUUUAUUGUUCU